rnacentral:rRNA from 1 species
GACGAACGCUGGCGGCGUGCCUAAUACAUGCAAGUAGAACGCACAGUUUAUACCGUAGCUUGCUACACCAUAGACUGUGAGUUGCGAACGGGUGAGUAACGCGUAGGUAACCUGCCUGGUAGCGGGGGAUAACUAUUGGAAACGAUAGCUAAUACCGCAUAAUAUUAAUUAUUGCAUGAUAAUUAAUUGAAAGGUGCAAUUGCACCACUACCAGAUGGACCUGCGUUGUAUUAGCUAGUAGGUGAGGUAACGGCUCACCUAGGCGACGAUACAUAGCCGACCUGAGAGGGUGAUCGGCCACAAUGGGACUGAGACACGGCCCAGACUCCUACGGGAGGCAGCAGUAGGGAAUCUUCGGCAAUGGACGAAAGUCUGACCGAGCAACGCCGCGUGAGUGAAGAAGGUUUUCGGAUCGUAAAGCUCUGUUGUAAGAGAAGAACGGGUGUGAGAGUGGAAAGUUCACACUGUGACGGUAUCUUACCAGAAAGGGACGGCUAACUACGUG